rnacentral:rRNA from 1 species
UGCGCAGGCGGAUAGAUGUGUCAGGUGUGAAAUCUCGGGGCUCAACCUCGAAACUGCGCCUGAAACUAUUUAUCUAGAGUAUUGGAGGGGUAAGCGGAAUUUCCGGUGUAGCGGUGAAAUGCGUAGAUAUCGGAAGGAACACCAAUGGCGAAGGCAGCUUACUGGACAAUUACUGACGCUCAGGCACGAAAGCAUGGGUAGCGAAAG